rnacentral:misc_RNA from 1 species
UAUUAACAUGAUAAGCACAAAUACAUAAAAGAUAUACACCCAACCUCAAUAAAGAAACAGAUAGCAUAUGCUGCAGACCUUUUUGUUGAAAUUUUUUUUUCUGCAUAAGCCAAAAGAAUCUGCAAUAAAAGCAACUAAAACAAAUCAGUUUUGGGGAAGUAAACAAUUAAAACAUUAAGUAAGAAUGACUUCCCAAUAGUGCAAUAGCCUCUAGUCCUUCAAAAUGCAUCUACAAAAGAAAAAAUUCAACAAUGUCAAAAUUGAAUUUGAGGGAUAUUUAAAACAAAACAAAAAUAAUGCAAAUAGAAUAAACUUAAUAAAAACAAAAUAAAGAAACUUGGGGUGCCUCCCAAGAGCG